rnacentral:lncRNA from 1 species
ACAAAUCAGAGCAUACUAUUAACAUUCAAAUUAAAAAAUAUUGUCAUGAAUUUUUUGCCAUUUACAUAGGGAGUUCCAGCUGAGCUGAAGACCUGCAUCAAAAUACUUUGGGACUUUCAUUCCUGCAUGCCUGUUUGAUGUUUUGGUGCUCCUAUGGUUUUGGGGAACGUAGACAACAGGAAUCAAAUCAUUCAAAGAGUUCAUUGUCUGAUCAUCCAUUUGAAGAAAGCUUCAACAUUUUUUACGUGCUGGUUGUAUUAACAGAUUAUUUUUUAUUUUUUUGCCUAUUAAGAUGGGCCCACGUCCAAAUUGCGACAUCCUGAAUUGUGUGUGAGCUAAAUCUGGUUACAGAUAGGAAUCUGAAUAUUAUGAGCAGGGUGGAGUUGAGCUAAAGAUCUGACUCCCUCGGCCUUGUGACUUGGAUGUGACAUGAGUUUGGCAUGUCCAAGCUAACCCUAUUUUUUUACCUAGCCCCUGAAUAAAUUGGAAACUUAAAAAGGCACUGUCAUGUUUUGUAUCUGAAACCAUAAGGUGGUCUUAAGCUGCCUGCAGUGCUGUAAAUUUGAGUUUCUUUUGUUGCUGUUGUUAUUCAUUGGGAAAGAAUGCGGCCCGGUUUCCAGUGACAGAGGGUGUGAAAUGGUAUAAAGUAGAAGUAAAAGGUGGAUUAUUUUGAAGAGACAAAAAAACCAAACCAAAACAAAACCAUAGUUCCCUGUUCAACAGGGACCAAAUAACCAUGGAGCCAGUUUCCUAUGUAAGUAACUGCGAUUCUGUCAUGUGACAGUUACAUGGAGUCACAUACUGAACAAAGAAUUUUCUUAAAAAAAAAAAAAAAAAAAAAAAAAAGAAAAAGAACUGUAGUCUAUGAAGCUGCUUUUAAAUGCUCAAUGCUCCCUGCUCCCUUCCCCCAUCUCCUUGGCUUCUUGUUUCAGCGUAAGUAGUAGAGCACACAAGUUAUUCAAGUUUAGAAACUAGUUAGUGAAAUUGAAUUCAUAAAUGAGUGCUAGUGAUUUUAGACCAUAAAAUGGAUCCUAAUUUAUUUUUACAAGCAGCAUGACUGAGGUUAAGCUUGAAGGUUGCUGUAGCCAGACAGGUUUUUUUGUAAAGCUGGUGAGUGAGGAGCAUCGACACCACAUAGGAUACACAUUGGAUACCUAUGCUUAUGUAGCAUGUACUUACAUAGUGUAGAGUUUUGAACUCAGAAAUUUUUUGUGAAAUACACAGGUCUGGGUCAGAUCUGUAUUUCGAAAUAAAGCCUCUAAAAAAACACUGCUGAAAGAAAGCAAAUAGAUUUUUAUACAUUUUGUAAUCUGAUGUUAACAGUCACAGUGAGGUAAACAUUUAUAAAUCACUUGUAACUGGCAGGCUGUUAACUUCUGGUAAAUGGUUUGCUCAGACAAUGGAGUAGAGUCUUUCUUGACAUCUAACAGUGUUUAUUCACUCAGAUGACAUUAAUAGGUUGCUGAAACUAAAAUUCAGGGUCGCAACUAAUAUUACAUCUACUUAGAAAUCCCAUUCUGCAGCCAGGUGCAACAGUUUAAAAUCUGUGAGUGAGAGCAGUAAAACAGCUGACAUCCCCAAACUUCCUGCACAAUGGGAACACUGUGGGUUGGUUUUGGUUUUUUUUUGGUCUGUUUGUUUGUUUUUUAAAUCUGGAAUAACUAAAAUGUUGUAAUUAGUUUUUAGUUGAAAUAUUACACGAUCAAAAGAAAACAUUAACUGGUAGCUUUUUGAACUUUUCUUUAUAAUAAAGUCAAAUUAAAAUUUACUUUUUCAGUAAAUGUUUUCAAGGCUUUGGUUCUGCAUCUCAAAAUGAUUCAAUCAUGUUAAGUGAACGUGUUUGAGGAAAUGCCCCUUUUUUGCUCUAAGUAAAGUGGUUAUUGUAGGUGAGGCAUAAUAACUUACUGUACUGAGAUCCUAAUACAGGCAAGCUAGUUGGUAGGUUUCUCGUGUUCUUCAUGCUAUUGAGGUGAAGGUAAACAGAUAAGAAUAUAAAAUUACUGUAGUCUUCUAGUACAUAUUUUCCCACUAAAAGAAACAAGCUUCUUUCUGCCUCUACCCCCAUUUGCCUUAAGGAAGAUACAGUACAACGUUGGAUGAUUUGGAUUUUGCUGGUAUCACUUAUACUUGACACCUGACUCUGAAUAAGAUAUCCCAAGAGAAGCUCAGCUACCAAACAAAAUAAAAUGCUCAAGUCUCAUAUUGCAAAUUCUUGAAUGAUGUUGGUUCUGUUUCAACCUGGAAAAUUGUAACACAGUUCCAAACCAGAGCACUUCCUUCUGGAGCUCUGCCUGCCAUCAUGCAGCAGAGCAGAGACCCCCGUGGUUCUGUCAUGGGGCAUUUUGUUCUUGCAGCUCCAGCUUUACCCAUGAGUGGAGGCCAUGAAUGAUACUGUUCCUUGGAAAUGUCUUCUUUCUCGGUCAGCAUACUGCAAUUGUUUUGUUAAAAUCAGUAAGUAAACAUCCUGGUCAAAUUCCAGUUCAGAUAACAGCACUCUGCUUACAGAGUUCCUGCAGUUUCAAAUAAAUGGCAUACUUAUGUCUGUUACCCUGUUCUGUGGUAUUGGAUGGUGGUGGUAAGCAGCUGGUAUGUUGUGGCUCAGAGGUGAUCUCAGCUAACUCAGGCAUAAGGUGGAUCCCCUUUGCUUUUCAUUAUUACUUUAAAAUUGAGACAUGUUGAUGAUGGUAAAGUUGCUGAAGUGUCAAACAUUUAUCUCUUUUUUCUUCUUCCUGUACAUCUUGUUCUAACUAUUGCAGAGAUAAAAAUGGUGUCUGAUUUUUAAAAUGAUACAAAUGUAAGUUUUACUCCUUGCCUUCUUCUUAGGCCAUGUCUUAAAUACAUUGAUCUCUCGGAUUGCUGAUAUUAAAUUUGCUAUGGGAUAGGUUCGGUGCAGUUUACCAAUAUAAAGCCAAUGAUAGCUAACAGAUGAAAACAUGACAGUUUCAAUGAAAGUCAGCUUAUCACUUUUUAUCACACACCAGAGAGACAUGUUCAGCACAGCUUGUUUUUCCUUUCUCCGGUUUCAGCAGAUCGGGAUGGAUUUUUGAUAUCUAUAAAAUUUGACAUAUCAGAUUGAUGAAUACAGCACAGCAGAGAACGUCCAAUACAUGAAUAAGAUUCAUCACAAAUCAAAACUGAAGUGUGAGCUUAUUCCAAAUUCACAAAGUCCUUGUGGCAGUGAGGCUUCUUUCAGCCGUGAUCUCACAUCAUCUCACACUGCCUGCAGAAGAGAUAAAAUUCAGUAUGAUUCUUUACUUCUUAGAUUACAGCAGUUGUUGUCAUUACUUCUCCCCAUUCCCUUUUCAAAAACCUAAGCACAUUCAUACUUCGAAUUUCCUUCAAUAUUUAAUAUGUCAGGUAUAAUAUGCAAGUUGUAUGUUUUUCUGCAGUUCAUCUACAGUCUCUUUUUAUAGUAAAAGGACAUUAACUGAAUGCUAGCUAUAUGGCCCAUCAGAAUGCCUUUUCAACCAAUACUUGAAAAGCUCGUAAAAUUCCCAAUCUUCAGCAGUAAGCUCAUGUGCUCCUUUGGUAGUUUACCGAAGGGUACAUGAACCAAAAUGU